AUCGCCGCGGUAAUACGAAGGGGGCUAGCGUUGUUCGGAUUUACUGGGCGUAAAGCGCACGUAGGCGGAUCGAUCAGUCGGGGGUGAAAGCCCGGGGCUCAACCCCGGAACUGCCCUCGAAACUAGGUAGCUAGAGUCUUGGAGAGGUCAGUGGAAUUCCGAGUGUAGAGGUGAAAUUCGUAGAUAUUCGGAAGAACACCAGUGGCGAAGGCGGCCCGCUGGACAUGUAUUGACGCUGAGGUGCGAAAGCGUGGGGAGCAAACAGGAUUAGAUACCCCUGUAGUCCCUGUCUCUUAUACAC
rnacentral:rRNA from 1 species